GAUGAACGCUGGCGGCGUGCCUAAUACAUGCAAGUCGAGCGAACAGAUGAGGAGCUUGCUCCUCUGACGUUAGCGGCGGACGGGUGAGUAACACGUGGAUAACCUACCUAUAAGACUGGGAUAACUUCGGGAAACCGGAGCUAAUACCGGAUAAUAUAUUGAACCGCAUGGUUCAAUAGUGAAAGACGGUUUUGCUGUCACUUAUAGAUGGAUCCGCGCCGCAUUAGCUAGUUGGUAAGGUAACGGCUUACCAAGGCAACGAUGCGUAGCCGACCUGAGAGGGUGAUCGGCCACACUGGAACUGAGCCACGGUCCAGACUCCUACGGGAGGCAGCAGUAGGGAAUCUUCCGCAAUGGGCGAAAACCUGACGGAGCAACGCCGCGUGAGUUAUGAAGGUCUUCGGAUCGUAAAACUCUGUUAUUAGGGAAGAACAAAUGUGUAAGUAACUAUGCACGUCUUGACGGUACCUAAUCAGAAAGCCACGGCUAACUACGUG
rnacentral:rRNA from 1 species